rnacentral:lncRNA from 1 species
AGUUUUUCAAGUUCUUUUUGUUUCUUUGAUUAAAAAAAAAAAGAUGGUAAUUUCAAGUGGAAUUAUUGCUGCAAACUGUGGUCACGUUUUAGGUUCAGAGCAGACUCGGUAUUCAUCGGGCGUUCGGCAGUUUGGUUUCUUGGGUUUUUAUGUCUUCUCCAAUAUGCAGUAACAUCUUUACCACAGUGUCACAGUUCUCCCCGGGAGGGGUUUGUGAGGGACUUGGAUGUUUUUGAUGCAGAAUCUGAUGUGUUUUCAGAAGAGUGAUGUGUGAGGUUACAACGGUGUCAGAACGAACGUCUUACGCAGCAAAUAGCCUGAAGCGAAACUCUGGGUUUGAAUGCAUUCUGAGCAAGGUCAGUUCCAGAUUCAAACUUGGAGGAUUAAGGGUUGUCUAAACCCAUAUCUCGCUGUUUGUUGGAGUCUGGAUCUGGCCCUGAACUUUGCACUUGAUGCUCUUGCCAAUUCGUCAUACCAGGCCUGUAUAUAACAUACACGUAGGUGACUGCAAGUACACCAGCCUUAGGGUGGCCGUGCUUCACUUGAAUAAUCCUGUUGACCUCAGUGGUAGAGAAUCAAAUUGACUGAAUUCCCCUGACGACAAUUCUUUUUCAGCCAGUCUUGUCUGACGCACCAUGCACUACCUAACUCUUAAAAGUCAGGAGAUUCUAAGUCAUAAGAAGCAUGUUGAAACAUGCACAGCUGUUCCUCCCUGCAGAAUAACCUGAAAACAUGCGAGAGAAGCCAGCGUUCAUCUCUGGUGUCAAAUGUUUGCAUUUCCACUGAAAUGUAAGUCAAAGUGUUUAUUAAUGAUGUUACUUUUACAUGAAAAUCAUCUGCUAAAAUGAACAUAGGCUCUCUCUGUUGUUAUAAAUCUUCCACAAUACUGUUGAAUACUGUUGCAGAGCAUCUUGCAAAUAAUUUAAUUGCAGUUUUCCUUGGGCCCCAGCAAUACUUGUUUUCCACAAACCUGACUAAAAGCUGUACAAAAUAGAUUUUUGGAGCAAAACUUCAGAGGAUUUUGUAGAUCUUCCAGAAGCCGACUUCUCCAAAGUGAUUAUAUUAAAAGAUAAAUUGGCCUAGGGUUGUUGCUACUGUUUUAACUCAUAUUUAAUGGUGCUAACCCAAAGUGCUGAAGGAGCGUCUUCAAGCAGACCUGGUCUGAGUGUGUGUGCGUUUCAGCAUGAUGGGUGGGUGCAGAGGCAUUCCUGCAAAUAGCUAUUAUGAAUAUUGCAAAGAUCUAGAUCAUUUAUUUAAUUUCUCUCUUCUGUGCCACUCUGUUAAGGCUGUAAGGAAUAAAGUCUUCUCCAGAUUUCAGAAAGAAAUACCACUUAAGGCUGAAGCCACAAUGCUCUGGAAAACCUCUUGGAUAGUUAUAGGCAAGAUGAUGGCUACUGGUUUGAUUGUUGGGGAAAAAAUAGGAAAAAGUUGAUGGAAAAGGACUAGGAAUGUUAGAAAUGUUUGAAAAUACAUCUGUGAAGUUUCGUAUAGAUAAUGUGUUAGUUUGUUUUGGGUAUGUUUGGGUCUCCCUCGUUUCUCCUUCCUUUUAACUUGGAGGAGCACACAACAUUUCAGAAUUUAACCUCGGGGAAUUAACUUUUAAUUUGAGGGUUUGCACGCUGUGCACAUUUGAGACUGCCAGCUGAAGGGUGGCAGUGAUUGCAUCUUUUGUCUAAAGGAGAAGGGAUCGGGGCAUCAGACAGACCAUUAGAUGUGGCUCUUAUGCCACAAAUGUAGUCGCAGCUUUUGUGAAGAACUGUCUGGCCAGAAUCACUCUGUGAUGUUUGCAUUCUCUACCUACCUGUUACAGAGUUUCCAAGUACUUGGUAUGGCAGAGGCUGCAUUCCAGCAGCCUUCAUUUGGCAGGAGCUUCCCUGGUUGCAGAGGCCCCCAAAGCUGCAUGGGUCUGUGUAUGCACUUCAUCUCAGCUACUGCAUUUGAGUGUCAAUUUACAAGCUUGUUCAUUAAGAACAUAUAUAUAUAGCACACUGCUUUCUUUGAAGCUACACCUCCCUUAGGAUCGUGUGGUGGUUCCUUUGCCAGCGCUGGGAUUGUUGCUCAUCGAACAGACCCUGCUGUGUGAAGUGCUGCAUAAGUACAGGCAGGUGGGCUUUACUGCAGCAGAAUUGCUUAGGUUUAUAGUUGUAAAAAUGAGUUCAAAUACAUAAACGUUCUGGGAGCUCAAGAGCUACAUCUUUAUGAUAACAAAAUAGCAAAUUAAGGGCUUUUAUUUUUUCAGUAAGUUGUUUUUAAAAGAUAACUGCUAUAACUGCAAUUAGGGUUUUGUUUAAAUGUUUGUAAAUUGUUUUCAAACUACCUACUUCUGCCUGGGAAAUGUGAAUUAAUGUGAAAUUGCUCAUACACCUCCUCUGCCCUUCCUGCGCUUCUUCUGAGCCCAGUCAAAGGCACACAUGCUCUGUGAUUUACAUGUUUCUGGUUCUGAUUGCCUUUGUCUGACCUGGACCCCUGAGCAGGAGCACUGCAGGAUGCUUUGCAGGUCCUGCUGACAUUAAGGGGAGAUGGAUUGGCUCUUAGAACUGGGCUCCUCAAGGGCUUUAGGCAACUGAUUGCUACUCUGUGCUCUUACGUGCAGUGUCUCAUUACUCCUGAGAUGCUUGAAAACCUCCCUUGGGCUUCUCCUUAGCCUCAGAGGGAUGUAAAGAAAGCACAUGUCCUGAUUUCUGCCAGUGACACUAUUUCUUAUAGUGCACCUAUACCCAGGUACUGACAUGACCAUAGGGCCCCCCAGCUUAUGUCUAAGCCUCAUAAAAAUCCCUAAACACCUCUGGCUCAUCAAGUCCACUCCUGGCAGGGUUCAGAACCUGGCUAUUGCAAGGGGUCUCACUCAUAGGAAGGAGUGGUCGUAUGGUUCCUCAUGGUCAGCAGUAUUUUUCAGGGAUGCAUGAAAACCUUGAAAGGUGGGCCUGGAUGAAUUUAAUGAGGUUCAACACAGCAAAGCGUAGGGUUUUGCACUUGGGCCGGAGGGAUCCCAGGGAUACAUACACACUGGGAGUGGCAGUCCUUGAGAGUAGCCCUGCAGAGAAGGACCUGGGGGUCCUGGUGGUUGAAAAACUUAACUUGAGCCAGCAGUGUGGUCUUGCAGCUCGGAAAGCAAAUGGUAUCAUGGGCUCCAUUGGAAGAGGGAUGGCCAGCAGGGAGAGGGGAGUGAUUGUCCCUUGUGAGGCCUCAUCUGGAGUACUGCGUCCAGGUCUGAGGACUCCAAUACAAGAAAGACAGGGAGCUGUUGGAGAGGGUCCAGAGGAGGGCCACAAAUAUGAUCAGAGGGCUGGAGAACCUCUCCUCCAAAGAUAGGCUGAGGCAGCUGGGUUUGUUCAGCCUGGAGAAGAGAAGGCUGCAGAGUGACCUCAUUGCAGCCUUCCAGUACCUAAAGGGAGCCUACAACAGCAGGGGAGUCAACUCUUUACAAGGGUAGAUAAUGGCAGGACAAGGGGAAACGGUUUCAAGUUGAAGGAGGGAAGAUGUAGGCUGGACAUCAGGGGGAAGUUCUUUACUAAGAGAGUGGUGAAGUGCUGGAACAGGCUAUACAGAGAGGAUGCAGAUGCCCCGUCCUUGGAGGUGUUCUAGGCCAGGUUGGAUGGGGCCCUGGGCAGUCUGGUCUAGUACUGAAUGUGGAGGUUGGCAGCCCUGCCUGUGGCAGGGGGGUUGGACCUUCAUGAUCCUUGAGGUCCCUUCCAACCCGGGCCAUUCAGUGAUUCUAUGAAAACCAAGCUCCAUAUCCCCACUCUUCUGUAGACUAGCACUGUCUGGGCAUUCAUUACUGAUGUGUGUGAGUCUGCGAGCCAGGAGGAUGUGGGGAACUUGGAACCAGUCCUUUGUAGUCCCUCCUGCUCUUUCUUCAGCUUUCUGGAAUCUUCUCUUAAAACUUGCAAUGCUUGGGCAUCUAACUCCUUCCCUCUUACACUGUGUAUGGUUCAACUCAGAAUUCCCCAGGGCAGCCUGUUCCUUUUGUUAAUUAAACCCUAAACGUGCACUGGGUGCACCAAGUAGAAUUCCUCCUGGUAUUUCUUUGCAGACAAUGCAGAAACCUGCAAUGCCCAGACACAGACUGAAGCACAAGAAAUGAGAAGGAAACUGAAGGAGCAAAAUGGGAAAAUGAAAGCACACUGCACUAGACUGCACUUUCUUUUCAGGCACACAGCUUGAUAGGUCUCUUUAACUGAGCUGCUGUUAUUAUUUGUUAUGAUGAACAUCAGAGGACCUUUGCUUCUGUUAAUUCCCCUGGGUUUGGUGUUUGCUGACUGCUGUGUUUCACUGUGUGAACUGGGGAAGGAAUGCCCCAUCCAUGCUGGUUUCCAGGUGGCAUCACUUACCCCUUUGCAUUCAUUGCAGACAUAAAUUCCUGUAAUUGGUUGAUUAGAAAGCACCAAUAUUUGUUCUCCUUGAGAUGAUGCUUCCCAGCAAAACAACACACUGAAACAAGUUUGAAGAUUGAAGUCUGUUUAAACAAUUGACAUUUUAAAAACGACUUAAUUCUGGGUUGACAUCCAGCACACCCAGUAAUUGUGAGUGCUUUUAUCACCCAGCUGAUUUUCAGUGUCAGCUCAGGAUUUUCCCAGGAUAAGAUCUCUGAGCACAGAGGACUAAAAGCCAUACUCAGCUCACUCUACCGGUAUGUUAUAUACAGCUUGACACCAAACGGAGCAGACAUGUUUGGCUC